CCCUCCUUUAGAUAUUGAAAGGCUGCUACUUCUCGGGAGGUGCACUGUGUUGUCUGCCUUAACAAGAAUUGCAUUCAGAAGAUCCUUUCAGUUAACUGAAAACAUGCACCAGUAAGUGGAUGAAGACAAAGGACAAGGAAAACAAAACACUGUUAGCAGAUUUGGACUACUCCUGGAUAUGGGGCAGUUCUCAGUCCAUGAACAAGAAGAGUCCUCAGCAGGGCUGGAAGCAGAGGGCUACAGGGAGAUCUGUGGGCAGAUUAAUCACCCAAGCUCUCAGAUGCUCCAGAGAAGAAAUGCGUGAAUUACCCACCUGUGAUGUUACUGCUGCAUAUAAAGGUCUCUGGAGAAUCCAGUGUGUCAGUGAUGAAAUCUGGGCUUUCACGCAUGCCAGGCUAACCAUGAGAAGAGCAUGUGAAGAAAUGUGAACCUGUCAACAUCUGUAGUCACUCCAUCCAGCAUCCUGAUCCUCCAUCUUUCCGCCAACUGUAAAGUGAUGAAAAAAUGGUCCUACUGGAGGGAAAAAAAUUUUGGACAAUUAAUCAACUUUCAAUCCAGCUUUAACUGUUUGACAGUAUGUAAUAAAAUUGCUUUUUCUUUUUACCA
rnacentral:lncRNA from 1 species